rnacentral:rRNA from 1 species
ACCUAAAGGCGAAAUGAAAGUGAAGGCGCGCCUCGCNCGCCCGGGGCGUCCCAUUCUCAUUGCGAGACGGGGCGCACCCAGAGCGUACACGCUGGGACCCNAAAGAUGGUGAACUAUGCCUGGUCAAGACGAANUCAGGGGAAACCCUGAUGGAGGUCCGUAGCGAUUCUGACGUGCAAAUCGAUCGUCNGAACUGGGUAUAGGGGUGAAANACCNAUNNAACCUNGUANCUGGUUCCCUCCNAAGUUUCCCUCAGGAUAGCUGGCGCUCACAGAGUCUCAUCNGGUAAAGNGAAUGAUUAGAGGCAUUGGGGUCGAAACNGCCUCNACCUAUUCUCAAACUUUAAAUGGGUGAGAUCUCCGGCUUGCUUGAACUGAAGCCGCGAGACCUCGNAUCAGAGUGCCAAGUGGGCCACUUUUGAUAAGCAGAACUGGCGCUGUGGGAUGAACCAAACGCCGAGUUAAAGCGCCUAAAUCGACGCUUA